UACAGAGGGUGCGAGCGUUAAUCGGAAUUACUGGGCGUAAAGGGCGCGUAGGUGGUUACGUAAGCGAGAUGUGAAAUCCCUGGGCUUAACCUAGGAAGGUCAUCUUGGACUGCGUAGCUGGAGUACGGUAGAGGGUAGUGGAAUUUCCGGUGUAGCGGUGAAAUGCGUAGAUAUCGGAAGGAACACCAGUGGCGAAGGCGGCUACCUGGACUGAUACUGACACUGAGGCGCGAGAGCGUGGGGAGCAAACAGG
rnacentral:rRNA from 1 species